rnacentral:lncRNA from 1 species
CAGAUCAUGCAUAUCUCCACGCAGGGUAUGUUGUCUUGCUCAGAACAUUAUCUUCUCUGAAAGCAGAAAAGAGGCACUGACAUCAAGCAAAGAGAAGGAAGCUUGCUGAGGAAAGAGAUCACAUGGGAUUUCCCCCACCGGGAAGUCUGUACCACCCAGGGCCUCUCUCCUCUGCACCACCCAGGGCCUCUCUCCUCUGCCACCUCAACUGGCAAGUGAGAAAUGCGUCACGUUGGCUUCACUUUGAGACAUUCAGAGUCCUGGCUCCACACAGAUAAAUACUUUGCUGAUCAUUCUCUAAGACCAGGAUGUUGGUAAAAGUGACUGGCCGGUGUGACUUUAAUAUGCAUUUAUGAAAAUGCUCGUAGGAAAAGAUGCUUUCUAGAGAAUUUGCAAUCAAAGGCCCAAGAGUUUUCUUUCUUUCAGUGUAUUUACUAACAUUAAGACAUCAGUGGCUUGAACUAUGUGAAUUCUCUCUGUGGACCGAAAGGGUAUUUAAUGAAGAAUAACAUGAAUCUUGUCCUUCAGGAUUUUAUCUUGUAAGUUCAAAGAAAGGAUAUAAAUCAAGACUUGUUACAUGGAAAGAAAAAGGUACUAAGAUAGAGGACAGAAUUAUAGUUUCUUUUAAAUCACAUGUCAGCAGAAACAAUUACAUCAGAAGCUUGCAAGCUGAGAGAUGGAAAACCAGAUUACUAUUUAUUGUUAGCAUCCUUUUCAUCUGUAAUAAAUUUUUGUAUUUAAUUCAUUUGAAUUAAUCAACUCCCACACUUGACAAGGAUUAACAUUGUAAAGAAUAAAUACUGAAGUAGAUUUUUAGUAAUUCAUUCACAUUUAAGGCCUUUUAAAAUGUAAUGAUAGCCUUUUGCUUUUCAUAAGCAUAUCUUUACCCCUACAUUAAUUACAGCAUUA